GAAUAUUGGACAAUGGGGGAAACCCUGAUCCAGCGAUGCCGCGUGUGUGAAGAAGGCCUGCGGGUUGUAAAGCACUUUCGGUAGCGAGGAAGAUUGAUGGGUGAAUAGCCUGUCAAUUUGCCGUUAGCUACAGAAGAAGCACCGGCUAACUCUGUGCCAGCCGCCGCGGUAAGACAGAGGGUGCAAGCGUUAAUCGGAAUUACUGGGCGUAAAGAGCACGUAGGCGGAUAGGUCCGUCGGAUGUGAAAGCCAUGGGCUUAACCUGUGGUUGCCGUCCGAAACUUCCUGUCUAGAGGCUAGUAGAGGGUAGUGGAAUUUCCGGUGUAGCGGUGAAAUGCGUAGAUAUCGGAAGGAACACCAGUGGCGAAGGCGGCUACCUGGACUAGAUCUGACGCUGAGGUGCGAAAGCGUGGGGAGCAAACAGG
rnacentral:rRNA from 1 species